rnacentral:rRNA from 1 species
AGCGAACGCUGGCGGUAGGCCUAACACAUGCAAGUCGAACGGCAGCGCAGUACUAGCUUGCUCUUCCGGGUGGCGAGUGGCGGACGGGUGGGGAAUACAUCGGAAUCUACUUUUUCGUGGGGGAUAGCGUCUGGGACCUUACGCUAAUACCGCCUACGACCUGCGUGUGAAAGGAGGGGAUCUUUGGGUCUUGCGUGAUUUCAUGGGCCGAUGUCGUAUUAGCUAGUUGGCGGGGUACAGGCCCAGCAAGGGGUCGAUCCGUAGCUGGUCUGGGAGGAUGAGCAGGCAUGCUGGAACGGAGACACGGUCCAGACUCGUGCGGGAGGCCGGAGUGGGGAAGAAGGGACAAGGGGCGCAAGCCUGAUCCAGCCAUACCGCGUGAGGGAAGAAGGCCGUGGGGUGGUAGAGCCCUUUUGUUGGGAAAGAAAAGCAGCAGGUGAAUGCCCCGUUGUGCUGACGGUACCAAAUGAAUAAGAACCGGCUAACAUCGU